AUCCAUCUGACGAGUCUCAAAUAAGACGAAAUGCGCGUCCUGAAU
rfam:Schistosoma curassoni strain Dakar, Senegal genome assembly, scaffold: SCTD_scaffold0010578